GGGGGUUGUGGGCAGAGCUCUUGCAUUCAUGUUUCCCACUGUGUGCCUGAUGGGCAGCACUUUGGCAGGCAUCCAAGCUGAUGGAAGAUGAUGCUGUCACCUCAACCGAAAUCUUUAAGGCCAGCCAUGACAGGGGAGAGAGCCAGGAGAAUGGAGUGCUAACUCUUCAGUACUACAGCUCAUGCAGACGCGUGCCAUUUCUGCUUGAAUUAGCCAGAGAAAGUCAGAUGACCGUGUAUAACAACAAGCGGGUAGUAUGCCUGGAAGAAGAGGAGAGAGAGAAAUCUUGAUGAGCACACAAUGAUGAUUGUUCCUACUUCAUACAUAGGAUAAGACUUAGAGGAGAAACUAACUUGUUCAAUGUCACACG
ensembl:lncRNA